AUUGAACGCUGGCGGCAGGCCUAACACAUGCAAGUCGAGCGGGGUUUUCGGACCUAGCGGCGAACGGGUGAGUAAUGCGUAGGAAGCUACCCGAUAGAGGGGGAUACCAGUUGGAAACGACUGUUAAUACCGCAUAAUGUCUACGGACCAAAGUGUGGGACCUUCGGGCCACAUGCUAUCGGAUGCGCCUACGUGGGAUUAGCUAGUUGGUGAGGUAAUGGCUCACCAAGGCGACGAUCUCUAGCUGGUUUGAGAGGAUGAUCAGCCACACUGGAACUGAGACACGGUCCAGACUCCUACGGGAGGCAGCAGUGGGGAAUAUUGGACAAUGGGCGCAAGCCUGAUCCAGCCAUGCCGCGUGUGUGAAGAAGGCCUUCGGGUUGUAAAGCACUUUCAGUAGGGAGGAAGGGUUAAGUGUUAAUAGUACUUAACUUUGACGUUACCUACAGAAGAAGCACCGGCUAACUCUGUGCCAGCCGCCGCAGUAACAC
rnacentral:rRNA from 1 species